GACGAACGCUGGCGGCGUGCUUAACACAUGCAAGUCGAACGGACAGGCCCUGCUUUUGUGGGGUGCUCGAGUGGCGAACGGGUGAGUAACACGUGAGUAACCUGCCCUUGACUUUGGGAUAACUUCAGGAAACUGGGGCUAAUACCGGAUAGGAGCUCCUGCUGCAUGGUGGGGGUUGGAAAGUUUCGGCGGUUGGGGAUGGAUUCGCGGCUUAUCAGCUUGUUGGUGGGGUAGUGGCUUACCAAGGCUUUGACGGGUAGCCGGCCUGAGAGGGUGACCGGCGACAUUGGGACUGAGGUACGGCCCAGGCUCCUACGGGAGGCAACAGUGGGGAAUAUUGCACAAUGGGCGGAAGCCUGGUGCAGCAACGCCGCGUGCGGGAUGACGGCCUUCGGGUUGUAAACCGUUUUCGCCUGUGACGAAGCGUGAGUGACGGUAAUGUGUAAAGAAGCACCGGCUAACUACGUG
rnacentral:rRNA from 1 species